rnacentral:lncRNA from 1 species
GGGAGAGAGGUGGCUCAGCCAUUCAAGACCGUGUUUUCCACCUUCUUCAGUUCUUCUUUCAGCAAUAUGAAGUUAAAACCAGAUUACCUCCUUUUGAUAUCUCGGCUUAGAAGAAUACAGAAUGUGGCCACAUGUUACUCUUCUACCAAUGUCAGGAUAAAGCAUGCCUUAGGACCCCUCAAUGGAGAACUACGUCCAUUCCAUGCUCCUUCCAACUACCUUGAGAAAUGGCUCCAAAUUUUCCUUAAUAUUAUUCUGAAUUGCUCUAUGAAAUUAAAUAAGAUAUGCUUUGUGAACUUCUUGUGAAGAUUAAAUGAGAUGAAAAAUGCAAAGUGCUGGAGGACCACCAGCAGGAGCUCUAUACAUGAAAAACUGUUGUUAUUAUUGACAAAAUAAAGGUAAAGGUUGCAUUCAAGACUGUUAAGAAAUUGUUACAGAAAAUAUUUUUAUUAGUCAUUGUACAGAUAAAGAAAGUGAUUCUCAUAUAAAGAAAAUGUUCUAUUUAAACUUUUUAUUUAAAUUUAAAUGUUCUAUUUAAAAUGAAAAAAUUACAAUGCUUCUGCCUUUUAUGAUGAGAGAUAACAAGUCAUGUUAGUAGAAGAAUAAAUCAAAAUAUUCCCUUACCUACAAAAAUUGAUGAGUGUACAAGCCACACUUAAGAAUUUGUGAUCAUGUUUAAGGAAAGAUGACAAUAUGAAGACCUUGAGUAUUGCCUUAGUUUUGCAAAAGACCUCGCUAGGCCUUCCUGAUUAGCUCAAGAAAAGUCCCCAGAGAAGGUUUUAAGGAAGAAGAAAGAGGACAAGAAAACUGGACAUAACCUAAGCGAAAAUUUUGACAUGGACAUAUCCUCAUAGAACAAGACACAAUACUGUAAGGGGCAGCAGGGUGGAUGGCUCUGUGUGACGGUCUUGGUUGCAUACUCCCCUUCACUUAGGUCAAACAAAACCCAAACAUCUCUUUGUAAACACCUCUCAUUUUCAUUGUCCAUGUGGAGAAGCUCAGAGCUUUCAUUUGGCCUAAGUGACCUACUAACCACUUUACAGCCUAUUCAGGUGCAGUUUUUAAUACUGCACAUGUUGGAAAUGAAACUGGUGCUUAUAACUCCUAGAAGUAUAAAUUUUAAUGAAGAUUCUAAAAACUUUAUCUUGGGCCUGUGAAGGUGUAGAUUAAAAAAAGUUCCAUUUCUUGGGGAAAGGAUUCCCUAUUUAAUAAAUGGUGCUGGGAAAAUUGGCUAGCCAUAAGUAGAAAGCUGAAACUGGAUCCUUUCCUUACUCCUUAUGCAAAAAUUAAUUCAAGAUGGAUUAGAGACUUAAAUGUUAGACCUAAUACCAUAAAAACCCUAGAAGAAAACCUAGGUAAUACCAUUCAGGACACAGGCAUGGGCAAGGACUUCAUGUCUAAAACACCAAAAGGAACGGCAACAAAAGCCAAAAUUGACUAAUGAGAUCUAAUUAAACUAAAGAGCUUCUGCACAGCAAAAGAAACUACCAUCAGAGUGAACAGGCAACCUACAGAAUGGGAGAAAAUUUUUGCAAUCUACUCAUCUGACAAAGGGCUAAUAUCCAGAACCUACAAAGAACUCAAACAAAUUUACAAGAAAAAAACAAACAACCCCAUCGAAAAGUGGGCAAAGAAUAUGAACAGACAUUUCUCAAAAGAAGACAUUCAUACAGCCAACAGACACAUGAAAAAAUGCUCAUCAUCACUGGCCAUCAGAGAAAUGCAAAUCAAAACCACAAUGAGAUACCAUCUCACACCAGUUAGAAUGGCAAUCAUUAAAAAGUCAGGAAACAACAGGUGCUGGAGAGGAUGUGGAGAAAUAGGAACACUUUUACACUGUUGGUGGGAUUGUAAACUAGUUCAACCAUUAUGGAAAACAGUAUGGUGAUUCCUCAAGGAUCUAGAACUAGAAGUACCAUAUGACCCAGCCAUCCCAUUACUGGGGAUAUACCCAAAGGAUUAUAAAUCAUGCUGCUAUAAAGACACAUGCACACGUAUGUUUAUUGCGGCACUAUUCACAAUAGCAAAGACUUGGAAUCAACCCAAAUAUCCAUCAGUGACAGACUGGAUUAAGAAACUGUGGCACAUAUACACCAUGGAAUACUAUGCAGCCAUAAAAAAGCAUGAGUUUGUGUCCUUUGUAGGGACAUGGAUGCAGCUGGAAACCAUCAUUCUCAGCAAACUAUCACAAGAACAGAAAACCAAACACCGCAUGUUCUCACUCAUAGGUGGGAACUGAACAAUGAGAUCACUUGGACUCGGGAAGGGGAACAUCACACACUGGGGCCUAUCACGGGGAGGGGAGAGGGGGGAGGGAUUGCAUUGGGAGUUAUACCUGAUGUAAAUGACGAGUUGAUGGGUGCUGGCGAGUUGAUGGGUGCAGCACGCCAACAUGGCACAGGUAUACAUAUGUAACAAACCUGCACGUUAUCCACACGUACCCUAGAACUUAAAGUAUAAUUAAAAAAAAAAAAAGUUCCGUUUCUGACAUGUCUAUAAUGAACUUCAUUGCUGCUUUUAAAAAAUUUUUCCUUUCGAUAAGAAAUUAAAGACUGAUUUCCUCUUUACAAAA